rnacentral:rRNA from 1 species
AUUGAACGCUGGCGGCAGGCUUAACACAUGCAAGUCGAGCGGUAACAGAGAGAAGCUUGCUUCUCUGCUGACGAGCGGCGGACGGGUGAGUAAUGCCUAGGAAUCUGCCUAGUAGUGGGGGAUAACUUGCCGAAAGGUAAGCUAAUACCGCAUACGUCCUACGGGAGAAAGGAGGGGACCUUCGGGCCUUUCGCUAUUAGAUGAGCCUAGGUCGGAUUAGUUAGUUGGUGAGGUAAGGGCUCACCAAGACCGCGAUCCGUAACUGGUCUGAGAGGAUGAUCAGUCACAUUGGAACUGAGACACGGUCCAGACUCCUACGGGAGGCAGCAGUGGGGAAUAUUGGACAAUGGGGGGAACCCUGAUCCAGCCAUGCCGCGUGUGUGAAGAAGGUCUUAGGAUUGUAAAGCACUUUAAGUUGGGAGGAAGAGGAGUUAACUAAUAUUUGACUGUUUUGACGUUACCGACAGAAUAAGCACCGGCUAACUUCGUGCCAGCCGCCGCCGUAA